GCCAGACUCCUACGGGAGGCAGCAGUGGGGGAUAUUGCACAAUGGGGGGAACCCUGAUGCAGCGACGCCGCGUGGGUGAAGGAGCGUUUCGGCGCGUAAAGCCCUAUCGGCAGGGAAGAAGGAGGACGGUACCUGACUAAGAAGCCCCGGCUAACUACGUGCCAGCAGCCGCGGUAAUACGUGGGGGGCAAGCGUUAUCCGGAUUUACUGGGUGUAAAGGGGGCGCAGACGGCAGCGCAAGCCAGGAGUGAAAGCCCGGGGCCCAACCCCGGGACUGCUCUUGGAACUGCGCGGCUGGAGUGCAGGAGGGGCAGGCGGAAUUCCUGGUGUAGCGGUGAAAUGCGUAGAUAUCAGGAGGAACACCGGUGGCGAAGGCGGCCUGCUGGACUGCGACUGACGUUGAGGCCCGAAAGCGUGGGGAGCAAACAGGAUUAGAUACCCGAGUACA
rnacentral:rRNA from 1 species